UAGGGAAUCUUCGGCAAUGGACGAAAGUCUGACCGAGCAACGCCGCGUGAGUGAAGAAGGUUUUCGGAUCGUAAAACUCUGUUGUUAGAGAAGAACAAGGACGUUAGUAACUGAACGUCCCCUGACGGUAUCUAACCAGAAAGCCACGGCUAACUACGUGCCAGCAGCCGCGGUAAUACGUAGGUGGCAAGCGUUGUCCGGAUUUAUUGGGCGUAAAGCGAGCGCAGGCGGUUUCUUAAGUCUGAUGUGAAAGCCCCGACUCAACCGGGGAGGGUCAAUGGAAACUGGGAGACUAGAGUGCAGAAGAGGGGAGGGGAAUUCCAUGUGUAGCGGUGCAAUACGUAGAUAUAUGGAGGAACACCAGUGGCGAAGGCGGCUCUCUGGUCUGUAACAGACGCUGAGGCUAGAAAGCGUGGGGAGCAAACAGG
rnacentral:rRNA from 1 species